CGCGCCGGGUCCUUCCUCUUCCCCAAGUGCAGGCAGAGCCACUGGAGCCAUGGCCAGCCCUUCUGGCAGCUCCGAAGCCACUGGCAAGCCCUGAGGCAGGGAUCGCCGGCCCAGGAGGGAGGAGGACGACGUCCCUCCCGAAGAGAAGAGGCUGCGGCUGUUGCUGGAGGGGGAAGCGCACAGCCCGAGGACUGCGAGGACGGGGAGGACGCGCCGCGGCCGGGCAGGGAGGAGACCGGCACCCAGACAGGUGGCGAUGGCAGAGGAGUGCAGGCAGAGCCCCCGGAUCCAUGGCCAGCCCUUCCGGCAGAUCUGAAGCCACUGGCAAGCCCCGAGGCAGGGAUGGCCGGCCCAGGAGGGAGGAGGACGACGUCCCUCCCGAAGAGAAGAGGCUGCGGCUGUUGCUGGAGGGGGAAGCGCACAGCCCGAGGACUGCGAGGACGGGGAGGACGCGCCGCGGCCAGGCAGAAAGGAGACCGGGACCCAGACAGGUGGCGACGGCAGAGCACAGAGAAGUUGCCCAUGACUCUGUGAUCCGUUUUGUCCAAUGAACCAUGAGCAGCAGCAACUUGAGUCACCUGCAGGUGUAAGUGUUAAGAGGCUCUAUGAUCCACCACAUUCCCUUUCCCCUGAAGUGAUCAAGGACACAUGCAGAGAUGGGGCUUUUGUCAGCCUGGAUCCCUGAGUGAACACAAUGAACAGACCACCCCACAAUGCCCUAACACAGCCCAGACAUGCAACGUGACCAAGAAUAAGCCUCACUCUGGCCAGGCAUGGUGGCUCAUGCCUGUCAUCCCAGCACUUUGGGAGGCCAAGGCGGGUGGAUCAUUUGAGGUCAGGAGUUCAAGACCAACCUGGCUAACAUGGUGAAAUCCUGUCUCUACUAAGUACAAAAAUUAGCCAGACAGUGGUGGCAUGGGCCUGUAAUCCCAGCUACUCAGGAGGCAGGAGAAUCACUUGAGUCUGGGAGGCAGAGGUUGCAGUGAGCUGAGAUUGCACCACUGCAUUCUAGUCUGGGUGACAGAGUGAGACCCUGUCUCAAAAACAAACAAACAAAUACCUCACUGCAUGAGGCCACUGAGAUUUGGGGAUUGUUGUUACUGCACCAGAACCCAAAUCGUCC
rnacentral:lncRNA from 1 species